rnacentral:rRNA from 1 species
UACGUAGGUGGCGAGCGUUAUCCGGAUUUAUUGGGCGUAAGGGGUGCGUAGGCGGUCUGUUAAGUAUAGAACUAAAGCCCGAAGCUUAACUUCGGUUCGUUCUAUAAACUGGCAUGCUAGAGUACAGUAGAGGCAAAUGGAAUUCCUAGUGUAGUGGUAAAAUGCGUAGAUAUUAGGAGGAACACCAGUGGCGAAGGCGAUUUGCUGGGCUGUUACUGACGCUGAGGCACGAAAGCGUGGGGAGCAAAUA